AUCACAUGAUUGCAACCGUGCAUAAUAUAGUCCACCCUUUUGAACUACCACCAAUAGAAUUAAACACACCAACUCAAUCAUUCACAACACAUCAAAUAAUUUGUCAAUAUAGAUCUCGUCCAUAUUCGUCACAUCAUACACUUUUUUCCCACCUACUACCAACCUCUGAUAAAAUCGUUAAAAUAUUUUAUCUCCAAAGCAUAGUUAUAUCCCUCUAUUUCAGCUACCUAACACUUUAAACCUCGUUCCAAAAUGAUUUACGAGUUGAAAGUUAUGAUCAAAAUCGUGCACGAAUGCAUUAUCAAAAAGUUGUUGCUUUCUGAAAUUUCCAGCAUGAUUUUCAUCUUCUCCAACCCCCAAAACGACCAUGAAAUCAUUACUAAAAUUACUUUACCCUUGAAACAAAUUUUCCUCUAUUUCAGAUACCCAAUGCUUCAAACCCCGUCUCAAAAUGAUUUACGAGUUAAAAAUUAUGAUUAAA
rnacentral:lncRNA from 1 species